GAUGAACGCUGGCAGUAUGCUUUACACAUGCAAGUCGUACGGGAGUUUUUAACUCAAGUGGCGGACGGGUGAGUAACACGUAAGAAUUUACCUUUAGGAGGGGGAUAACAACUGGAAACGGUUGCUAAUACCCCAUAUGCUUUCGAGUGAAAUGGAAUUUUCCGCCUAGAGAGAAGCUUGCGGCUGAUUAGCUUGUUGGUGUGGUAAUGGCUCACCAAGGCGACGAUCAGUAUCUGGUUUGAGAGGACGAUCAGACACACUGGGACUGAGACACGGCCCAGACUCCUACGGGAGGCAGCAGUGGGGAAUUUUCCGCAAUGGGCGAAAGCCUGACGGAGCAAGACCGCGUGGGGGAGGAAGGUUUUUGGAUCGUAAACCCCUUUUGUCUAAGGAGAAGCUCUGACGGUACUUGACGAAUAAGCCUCGGCUAACUCCGUGCCAGCAGCCG
rnacentral:rRNA from 1 species